UACGGGGGGGGCAAGCGUUGUUCGGAAUUACUGGGCGUAAAGGGCUCGUAGGUGGCCAACUAAGUCAUACGUGAAAUCCCUCAGCUUAACUGGGGAACUGCGUCUGAUACUGGAUGGCUUGAGUUUGGGAGAGGGAUGCGGAAUUCCAGGUGUAGCGGUGAAAUGCGUAGAUAUCUGGAGGAACACCGGUGGCGAAGGUGGCAUCCUGGACCGAGAUUGACGCUGAUGCGCGAAAGCCAGGGGAGCAAACGGG
rnacentral:rRNA from 1 species